CAAUAGCGUAUAUUUAAGUUGCUGCAGUUAAAAAGCUCGUAGUUGGAUUUCGGGUGGGAAUGGCCGGUCCGCCGUUUCGGUGUGCACUUGCUACGCCCACCUUGCUGCCGGGGACGUGCUCUUGAGUUCACGCUCGGGACACGGAGUCGGCGAGGUUAUUUUGAGUAAAUUAGAGUGUUCAAAGCAGGCCUACGCUCUGAAUACAUUAGCAUGGAAUAACACGAUAGGACUCUGGCCUAUCUUGUUGGUCUGUAGGACCGGAGUAAUGAUUAAGAGGGACAGUCGGGGGCAUUCGUAUUUCAUUGUCAGAGGUGAAAUUCUUGGAUUUAUGAAAGACGAACUACUGCGAAAGCAUUUGCCAAGGAUGUUUUCAUUAA
rnacentral:rRNA from 1 species